GUGACUCAAACACGUGGAAAGGAGUGGUUCUUCUGAGGAAAACCAGCUGAAGUAUUACAGAAAGAGGAAAUGCUGCAGAGACCCAGCCGGAAACAGUGCUGGCCAGCUCACGCCUGACCCACCCUUAUUCUAAGCAUAGGGUCUGCCUCUGAAGAGCUAAAGACUUCCUGAAAUUUAAAAAUUAGUGCUUUUAUUUGCUUGUCCUGCUAAGACCGUAGGCAAAGGCCAUCCUCCUCCCAUUGACAGUUUAGAGUGGGCAGAAACAACCACGGUUACCCUAGAAGUAAAUCCAGAGCUGCGGGACGCUGGAGGACAAAACCAACCUUCCAGGGAAGCCGAGGAGAAGUCAUGCCUUCAAAAGACGGAGUUUUGCUCUGUCACCCAGGCUGGAGUGCAAUGGCCCGAUCUCGCCUCACUGCAACCUCCACCUCCCGAGUUCAAGAGAUUCUCCUGCCUCAGCCUCCCAGGCUGGCACUGUGCCUCACAUCUGCAAUCCCAGCAUUUUGGGAGGCCAAGGCGGGCAGAUCACUUGAGGUCAGGAGUUCGAGACCAGCCUGGGCAACAUGGGGCUGGGAAGUUCAAGAUCCAGGCCUCAGAAGAUUUGGGGUUUGGUGAGGGCCAUCUUCUCACUGUAGCCUUACAUGGUGGAAGAGGUAAGGCAGCUCUCUGGAACCUCUUUUAUAAGGGCACUAAUCCCUUUCAUGAGAACUCAGCCCUUAUGAACUCAUCGCCUCCUAAAUUCUCUACCUCCUAACACCAUCACUUUGACAAUCAGAUUUCAACAUAUGAAUUUGUGGGAGUCACCAGCAUUGAGACUAUAGCAACCCCUUAUUAGAAAUAAUUCAUGAGGAACUGAAACUGUUAGGAAACCACUGUGUAAAUGCUGGGAAACAAAGUCAGAUAAAUAAUGCUGAUAAUUACCUGACUGCUUUUGGAACUGUCCUUUUUUGUGAACAUGAGACUACAUCAUUGUCAGUUGAUUGCAGAAGAACCACUAUGAUAUUAUAAUGGGGUCCUGACUCCAUGACUGUGUAAUUCAUGGCUUUCUAACGGUUUAUUAUUGACCUAACUUUGCAGCUCCCCUAGAUCCCCUAACUCCACCAUCUUGGGUUGCAACCAAUGACCUGUUAUUGCAAAACAGGUAAUCUCACUUAGAUAAGUAUUAAUCAGAGGGGCUUGACUUCCAGAGUUCAUUUCAAUGGUUUUCAACUCAUUUGUAGAGUUUAACAUCAGUAGCCCUUUCUCUUCCAUAGGAGGGAGAUGAACCAUCCUGUUUGUUCAAUAAUCAGUGAGAGCGUGGCUUUAACGUCUCUUCCACUCCUUUCUAGUUCAGGUCUUUCUUAACUUGAUGGAGAUAGCUUGGGCCAGGGAGGGCAGAGUGAAGAUGAGAUGGCAAAAAAAAAAAA
rnacentral:lncRNA from 1 species